rnacentral:rRNA from 1 species
AACAGGAUUAGAUACCCUGGUAGUCCACGCCGUAAACGAUGGAUACUAGGUGUAGGAGUUAUCGACCCGUUCUGUGCCGGAGUUAACACAAUAAGUAUCCCACCUGGGGAGUACGACCGCAAGGUUGAAACUCAAAGAAAUUGACGGGGGCCCGCACAAGCAGUGGAGUAUGUGGUUUAAUUCGAAGCAACGCGAAGAACCUUACCAGGACUUGACAUCCUUUGAACGCUGUAGAGAUGCAGUUUCCCUUCGGGGCAAGGUGACAGGUGGUGCAUGGUUGUCGUCAGCUCGUGUCGUGAGAUGUUGGGUUAAGUCCCGCAACGAGCGCAACCCCUGUUGUUAGUUGCCAGCAUUAAGUUGGGCACUCUAGCAAGACUGCCGGUGACAAAUCGGAGGAAGGUGGGGAUGACGUCAAAUCAUCAUGCCCCUUAUGUUCUGGGCUACACACGUACUACAAUGGCGACUACAGAGGGAAGCGAUACUGUGAAGUGGAGCAAAUCCCCAAAGGUCGUCCCAGUUCGGAUUGCAGGCUGCAACUCGCCUGUAUGAAGAUGGAAUUGCUAGUAAUGGCAGGUCAGCAUACUGCCGUGAAUACGUUCCCGGGCAUUGUACACACCGCCCGUCACACCAUGAGAGCUGACAACACCCGAAGUCGGUAGU